rnacentral:rRNA from 1 species
GAUGAACGCUGGCGGCGUGCCUAAUACAUGCAAGUCGAGCGAACAGACGAGGAGCUUGCUCCUCUGACGUUAGCGGCGGACGGGUGAGUAACACGUGGAUAACCUACCUAUAAGACUGGGAUAACUUCGGGAAACCGGAGCUAAUACCGGAUAAUAUAUUGAACCGCAUGGUUCAAUAGUGAAAGACGGUUUUGCUGUCACUUAUAGAUGGAUCCGCGCCGCAUUAGCUAGUUGGUAAGGUAACGGCUUACCAAGGCGACGAUGCGUAGCCGACCUGAGAGGUGGAUCGGCCACACUGGAACUGAGACACGGGCCAGAGUCCUACGGGAGGCAGCAGUAGGGAAUCUUACGCAAGGGGCGAAAGCCUGACGGAGCAACGCCGCGUGAGUGAUGAAGGUCUUCGGAUCGUAAAACUCUGUUAUGAGGGAAGAAAAAAUGUGUAAGUAACUAUGCACGUCUUGAGGGUACCUAAUCAGAAAGCCACGGCUAACUACGUG